AAAGGAAUAGACGGGGACCCGCACAAGCAGUGGAGUAUGUGGUUUAAUUCGAAGCAACGCGAAGAACCUUACCAGGUCUUGACAUCCCUCUGACCGGUGCAGAGAUGCACCUUUCCUUCGGGACAGAGGUGACAGGUGGUGCAUGGUUGUCGUCAGCUCGUGUCGUGAGAUGUUGGGUUAAGUCCCGCAACGAGCGCAACCCUUGAAUUCAGUUGCCAGCACGUAGUGGUGGGCACUCUGAAUUGACUGCCGGUGACAAACCGGAGGAAGGUGGGGAUGACGUCAAAUCAUCAUGCCCCUUAUGACCUGGGCUACACACGUACUACAAUGGCCGGUACAACGGGAAGCGAAGCGGCGACGCGGAGCGAAUCCUUAGAAGCCGGUCUCAGUUCGGAUUGCAGGCUGCAACUCGCCUGCAUGAAGUCGGAAUUGCUAGUAAUCGCGGAUCAGCAUGCCGCGGUGAAUACGUUCCCGGGUCUUGUACACACCGCCCGU
rnacentral:rRNA from 1 species